GAGGUUGCUGAUGCGGAUGAGCAGCCUUAGAGAAAGGCCACCAGCCCUGCCUUCCCUGCCCAGCAUGGUUCCCACACUUCUCUGCCUGGCAGUCCUGUGUUUCCUGGGAGCAGGCUCCAUGGACACUGAGGUCACCCAGACUCCAAGACAGCUGGUCAAAGCAAGACAGCAGAUAGCAAGGAUGGAUUGUGUCCCUAUAAAACAACACGUUCAUGUUUAUUGGUAUCGUCAGAAGCUGAGAGAAGAGCUCAAGUUUUUGGCUUACUUGAAGAAUGAAGAAACCAUUGAUGGAUCAGGAUUACCUGAUAAGCGAUUUUCAGCUCACUGCUCCAAAAACUCAUCCUGCAGCAUGGAGAUCCAGUCCACGGAGCUGGGGGACUCAGCCGUGUAUUUCUGUGCCAGCAGUUUAUCCACAGUGCUGCAUGUCAGCUGUUCCUGGAACACGAACCCAUCCUGGCCCAGCUCAGGAAAUAGGUGGGACAUGAGGUUGGUGGGAAGUAACAGAAACCCUACUUGAAAGAGCACACAGCAAAGGGAAAUUGUGCAAAUGCAGCUCUAAGUGAGCAGAAAGGGGUGUUAAAAACAGUUGGUGGUACAGACAC